GACGAACGCUGGCGGCGUGCUUAACACAUGCAAGUCGAACGGAAAGGCCCUGCUUUUGUGGGGUGCUCGAGUGGCGAACGGGUGAGUAACACGUGAGUAACCUGCCCUUGACUUUGGGAUAACUUCAGGAAACUGGGGCUAAUACCGGAUAGGAGCUCCUGCAGCAUGGUGGGGGUUGGAAAGUUUCGGCGGUUGGGGAUGGACUCGCGGCUUAUCAGCUUGUUGGUGGGGGAGUGGCUUACCAAGGCAUUGACGGGUAGCCGGCCUGAGAGGGUGACCGGCCACAUUGGGACUGAGAUACGGCCCAGACUCCUACGGGAGGCAGCAGUGGGGAAUAUUGCACAAUGGGCGGAAGCCUGAUGCAGCAACGCCGCGUGCGGGAUGACGGCCUUCGGGUUGGAAACCGCUUUCGCCUGUGACGAAGCGUGAGUGACGGUAAUGGGUAAAGAAGCACCGGCUAACUACGUG
rnacentral:rRNA from 1 species